rnacentral:lncRNA from 1 species
CACGAUAUAUUACAUAUUAAUAAAUUAUUAUUAUCAUAAAAAUUAUUAAUUAUACUAAAUUAAUACAUAUUAUUUGAGUGAUAAUAUUAUAAUAAAUUACACUUAAAAGUUAUAAUAGAAUUUUUUUAUUAAAUUUAAGUUUAAGUAGAUUUUGAGAAAAAAGAUAAAUUAUUUUUAGGAAUCAGGGUUUAGGAAUUUUUAGUUUAUGGAUCUGAAAAAAGUUUUUGA